rnacentral:rRNA from 1 species
CAGCAGCCGCGGUAAUACGAAGGGGGCUAGCGUUGCUCGGAAUGACUGGGCGUAAAGGGCGCGUAGGCGGAUGGCACAGUCUGAUGUGAAAUUCCCGGGCUUAACCUGGGGGCUGCAUUUGAUACGUGUUGUCUAGAGUGAGGAAGAGGGUUGUGGAAUUCCCAGUGUAGAGGUGAAAUUCGUAGAUAUUGGGAAGAACACCGGUGGCGAAGGCGGCAACCUGGUCCUUGACUGACGCUGAGGCGCGAAAGCGUGGGGAGCAAACAGGAUUAGAUACCCCCGUAGUCCUGUCUCUUAUACA